rnacentral:rRNA from 1 species
UACAGAGGGUGCAAGCGUUGUUCGGAAUCACUGGGCUUAAAGCGUGUGUAGGCGGAUCGUUAAGUGUCUUGUGAAAUCCCACGGCUCACCCGUGGAACUGCUGGGCAUACUGGCGAUCUUGGGCCAACUAGGGGCAACUGGAACAAGCGGUGGAGCGGUGAAAUGCGUAGAUAUCGCUUGGAACGCCAAAGGUGAAAACAGGUUGCUGGGGUUGUGCCGACGCUGAGACACGAAAGCCAGGGGAGCAAACGGG